UCUGUCAUUACACACACACAUACAGAAAAGUAAAACCAAGUAAUACAUGAAGAAUUGGCAAAAUGGUGAAGAAAACUGGGGAUAAGGAGAACACCGCUUUGUUGAUCAGCGAGAAAGAAAUGCAGGAUCGUGAGAACAAGUAUGUUCAACAUUUGCAGGAUGUCAGUGUGAGCUGUGGCUACAUUAGAGAGGCCACCACGGAGUGUGAGCGACUAGAUCAAGAGAAAGCGAAGCAGGAUCAUUGGGAGCAUUUCAUACGCUGUGACGGUUUGCCUCGUCCCUAUAUUCCGCCCGAGAUGCGAACCUUUCUGGCCAAGAAGCGGUACUAUCAGCAGUUCGACUGUGAUCACAGUGUGGACUGGACACUUUCGGUGGAUGAGACCACGAUUUUAACUCAAAACGUCUUUCGCACGGAUAAAACGCGCAACACAAUGAAGGAGACAAUGAACGAUCAUGUUGGUGAUCGCUUUGAGAACGAUAUCACAAUGUUUCUCGAUACGCUGGUUAAGAUCGAAUGUAUGUUGGACAAUGAAACAGAAAUGGCACGUGUUAAUUUCGAGACAAAAAUGGAGAUCAUGGAUGCACGUAAAGAAAUCGAGGAGGAAAUCGAUGCGAGUUUUGAUCGCUUGACGUAUCGCAUUAUACGUAUGGAUGGUGUUUACAUGAACUCAAGCGAUGCCAUUGUGGCCACUUGGGGUCACGUAUGCGAUCGAUAUGCCAUCGAUAUCUGGGGAUUGCGAAAUGUGCCCAUACGCUUUGAUCAAAUGCUCGCUCCUCUGAUGCUGGCCGAGCUGACGCAUGUGGGUGUCACUGUUCAGAUGCCAUUGAGCGUUCUACACGACUGCCUCACACUGCGCUGCAUUCACACACAUUUCGACAACUGCUCGCAGUAUGCCAAAAGCUUCGAUACUGUGAUACCCGAAUCGAUCAAGGAUCUGACAGCUGGCAUACUCAGUAUCGAGGACUGCCUGGCGAAUGAGUGGCUAAUGCAGGUGGAUAUUCAAGCGGAGCUGCUGGAUAAUAUGCUGCAGAAACGUGAAGCCUAUGAGGAGAUUAUGCGGAUUAUAGCCGAGCGCACAGAGCGGGCGGCGAAAGAGAAGAAGGCCAAUGAGGGCAAGACUGUGAAGGCUAUUGCUAUUCCCAAGGCGCCCAAGGAGCCGCCAUCGGUGCCGCAGGGCAUGCUGCCCGAUGCCUACUCAGCAUUCCUAGAACAGGAGCAGCAACAAUAUGUGGAAAUGCUGGAUACACAGUACAAUCCGUUGAAUUUGAAAAUGAAGUUAGAUGAGAUAAAUCUGCGGCAAUACAUUCUGCUGGGCGGUUUAUAUUCGGUGAUGUUUGUGCGACGUCCGGGGAAUACGCAUUUCGAGAAGUUCAACAUUAUUCUGCACGAGGAUGGCCGAGUGUUGCACACCAUGGAGAACGUGGUGGCCGAUUUGCAUCCCAAGCGACACGAUGAUCUCCACGAACGACAUUCGCGGCCCUCGCAGCGAACUUCCACAUCAUCACAGGGACGCUCCAAGUCGCGAAUGCGUCUCCAAAUGGAUGCAAAGCAGCGCAAGUCCAGUAAGCUGGAGGACGAUGAGUUGCCGUAUUUCUUUGUUACCUUACAACUGGCGCCGGAGAUGUGCAGAUGGGGCGAACCAACCGCUUGUCAAUACAUCACAAAGAUGGAGGAAGUUGUGUCAGACAUUUCAUUCAUUGUCGAGGAGAAAAAGGAGUCAACAGGCAAGAAAAAGAAAUCGAAAUUCGAGUCAAUCAUGAAAUCCGUGGAAGUGGAAACUCGACCAAGCGUAUUCACAAAAAUUGUACGUCGCGAUUCCGCGAUUAGCAAUGUGUUUCGUCCCACGUUAAUUUCGCUGCUGCGCCAAAGUAAACGUGUUACGGUUGGCACAAGGACGAUGCCUGUUCAUAACUUUUCGCUGCUUAAGCAAUUGACUCACCUGGAGAUACGGCAACUAGAGCGUUAUGGUGUGCCCCGUGUCAUAUCAUCCUUGAAGUUCCCGUUGGAGGUGCGCGAAGAGUUGGAGCAGCUACACGACCAGAGGCCAAAGAACAAGAAUAUGUUGAUGCGUCGUCGCAGUGCCGAUGUCGAGGAGAUCCUUGAUCUAGGCUACAUCGAUUUCAAUUUUGAGGAGCAACACGCACCCGAACGCGUCUUUCCCAUCUUCUCGAAUGUCGAGACAGUGCGGUAUGUGGAUAUGCAACUGGAAGAAGAUGAACAUUUGGAUAAGAAAUCCAUUUAUGGUUUGCUAGAGACCUUUGACAAUAUACGCUCACAAUAUCAAACAAACUAUGCGCUCAUCAUGAAUCAACCGGACUUUCAGCAUAAGAAACCGGCGGUGUCUAAAAAGGCGGUUGUUCCCGUGCCAGAUAAUCGCUCUACGGUCACCGGUCGAGUCAAGUCCCUGGUUGCAAGGAAAUCAGAGAGUCGACUGCCAUCGUUUCGCAGCAGUCACAUUACCAGUUUAUCCGGCUCGGGUUCCCGUAGCGCUACCUCGGUGCACACUGAACAGUUGUCGGACACCGAUGCGACGACCAACAGCAGGAUGACGUUCUCCACUGAGGAAAAAGAGGAGAAACCUAAGGUUAAAGUGACACACUGGACAACGAAACACAUCAUCACGAGCACUUUCAACCGAAACGAACGCACUUUGACCAUCAAAACGGAUCGUCUGGGCAUCUUUGGGUUGGCCUUUAAGCGCUACGAACAUUUCCCUUUUCGCGACUGGAGCAUGCAGCCCAACGAGGAGAAUCCCGAUGAAAUCGUACUGACUGUGGAUACUUUUCACGCUCGGAUUGUGCUCUAUAUUUCGGCACAGGGUGUCAGGGGUUAUGUGACUGAUAUUACCAAGGGUUAUGUGGCUCAUCCUGUUAAGUAUUUGGAUAUACCGACGCCUAUUGCUGAUUUUCGAGUCUUGCGUAAGAAAUUCUACGACAAGUGCAUCAAUAUCUUUGCGGAGCACGAUGCCAGCUUCUACAUCGACAAUGGUUAUUUUUCGGUGAAGCAUGUUGCCACUGAGGAUCACACCUAUGACGCAAUGGCAUUGCACUGCAAACUGAUGAAAUUCACUCGCUCAAGCUGGAAUCGUUUGGCCACUCGUCGCAAUAUUCUGCUCUGUAUGAAGAAUGCAAAGGAUCAGUCCGAUUACACGGAGGUGACGGUGCGCAUAACUCCCGAUGCGGCCACAUUUGUGGAGGUUACCGAACUCUGUUCCGAUGAUCUCGACGUGAUCAAGUUGGAUUAUAAGAACACCUGGCGCAAUAUGAGCCAUUAUACGGAUCUGCAUCAGGCAAUUGCCUCAAUGAAUCCUCAUGCCGUCGAUGUGCGGAACAAGGAUGUGCAGCUUUUGUCCCGGCUCAAGCGCAUGUUGAGCGAAAUUCAUAUUAUGAAUUUUUCCUAGAAUGUUUUUUUAACAAUUGUACUACUCCGAUAAAUUUGUCAGUUUUCCAAUUACACUUUUUACAACACUUGCAUGCAACACAUACGCACACACAACACACACAAACACUCUUAAAUGUUAAUGUAAAAAAAAAUAAAAAAAAAAUAUAUUGAGUAAACUUAAAAAAAAAAAGAAUGGUUAAAAAGAAACGCACCCAAGUAAUUGUGGCAAAUACAGAUGGAAAACAAGUCGUCGAAUCAAGUGCGAUGUCCUUUGUCUCGGAGGCCGAGUGGCUGGCAAGGGAACAACGUCAUCAACAGCGCAUACAGGACGUGAGGAUCUGUGCAGGCUUUAUUAUAGAGUCCAUUGAGGACUAUCAAGAUUUGGUGAAGCUGCAGAGAAAGCAGGAGCACUGGAAUCGCUAUGUGAACUGUGAUGGUUUGCCUCGGGCUCACAAUCCGCCUGAGUUGCGAUCAUUUAUUGCGGAAAUAAGGCAC